UGAGGAAUAUUGGACAAUGGAGGCAACUCUGAUCCAGCCAUGCCGCGUGAAGGAAGACUGCCCUAUGGGUUGUAAACUUCUUUUAUAGAGGAAGAAACGAUAGUACGUGUACUAUUUUGACGGUACUCUACGAAUAAGGAUCGGCUAACUCCGUGCCAGCAGCCGCGGUAAUACGGAGGAUCCAAGCGUUAUCCGGAAUCAUUGGGUUUAAAGGGUCCGCAGGCUGUUGUUUAAGUCAGAGGUGAAAGUUUGCAGCUCAACUGUAAAAUUGCCUUUGAUACUGGAUAACUUGAGUUAUAAUGAAGUGGUUAGAAUAUGUAGUGUAGCGGUGAAAUGCAUAGAUAUUACAUAGAAUACCGAUUGCGAAGGCAGAUCACUAAUUAUAUACUGACGCUGAGGGACGAAAGCGUGGGGAGCGAACAGG
rnacentral:rRNA from 1 species